UACGUAGGGUGCGAGCGUUAAUCGGAAUACUGGGCGUAAAGCGUGCGCAGGCGGUUUUGUAAGUCUGUCGUGAAAUCCCCGGGCUCAACCUGGGAAUUGCGAUGGAGACUGCAAGGCUAGAAUCUGGCAGAGGGGGGUAGAAUUCCACGUGUAGCAGUGAAAUGCGUAGAGAUGUGGAGGAACACCGAUGGCGAAGGCAGCCCCCUGGGUCAAGAUUGACGCUCAUGCACGAAAGGCGUGGGGAGCAAACG
rnacentral:rRNA from 1 species